rnacentral:rRNA from 1 species
GAUGAACGCUGGCGGCGUGCUUAACACAUGCAAGUCGAACGGAAAGGCCUCUGCUUGCAGGGGUACUCGAGUGGCGAACGGGUGAGUAACACGUGGGUGAUCUGCCCUGCACUUCGGGAUAAGCCUGGGAAACUGGGUCUAAUACCGGAUAGGAGAAUGGUUUGGAUGCUGUUGUGGAAAGUUUUUCGGUGUGGGAUGAGCUCGCGGCCUAUCAGCUGGUUGGUGGGGUAAUGGCCUACCAAGGCGUCGACGGGUAGCCGGCCUGAGAGCGGGUACGGCCACACUGUGACUGAGAGACGGCCCACAGUCCUGCGUGGGGCGGAAGUGGGGAAUAUUGUACAAUGGGCGCAGGCCUGAUGCAGCGACGCGGCGUGGGGGGUGACGGCCUUCGGGUUGUAAACUCCUUUCGCUAGGGACGAAGCGUGUUUGUGACGGUACCUGGAGAAGAAGCACCGGCUAACUACGUG